rnacentral:rRNA from 1 species
GACGAACGCUGGCGGCGUGCUUAACACAUGCAAGUCGAACGGAAAGGCCCUGCUUGCAGGGUACUCGAGUGGCGAACGGGUGAGUAACACGUGGGUGAUCUGCCCUGCACUUCGGGAUAAGCCUGGGAAACUGGGUCUAAUACCGGAUAGGAGCCAUUUUUAGUGUGAUGGUUGGAAAGUUUUUUCGGUGUAGGAUGAGCUCGCGGCCUAUCAGCUUGUUGGUGGGGUAAUGGCCUACCAAGGCGGCGACGGGUAGCCGGCCCGAGAGGGUGGACGGCCACAUUGGGACUGAGAUACGGCCCAGACUCCUACGGGAGGCAGGAGUGGGGAAUAUUGCACAAUGGGCGCAAGCCUGAUGCAGCGACGCCGCGUGGGGGAUGACGGCCUUCGGGUUGUAAACUCCUUUCGCUAGGGACGAAGCUUUUUGUGACGGUACCUAGAUAAGAAGCACCGGCUAACUACGUG